rnacentral:rRNA from 1 species
AUGGCUCAUGCAAGAAGCAUCCUCAUACCCACGUACUACCUGAUCAGCUGCUACAUCUUAUUUCUAGCCGCCUACGCGACUCCUCGCGCCGCCGCGCUGUCCUUCGACUACGACUUCACUGUCCCGAUCCCGAGGGACCGCAAGCAGCUCAAAUUCAUCAACGCCUCCUACGCCGGCCGCGACCGGAUCAUCCUCACCGACGACAGCUCCAACCUCACCGGCCGCGUCGUGCACCGAAAGCCGGUGCGCCUGUGGGACAGCCGCACAGGCAGGAGGGCCAGCUUCACCACCAGCUUCCGCUUCGCCAUCGUCCAAGACAGCAACAGGACGGAUAACCUUUCACGGGGCGACGGCAUGGCGUUCUUCCUCGGGCCCUUCCCGGCGACGACCCCUCCGCCUGGCUCCGACGGCGGCCUCCUCGGCCUCUUCAGCAACCCCAACAGCACGGGCGCCGCCGACUCCCGACGCCCGCCGCACACCCUCGCCGUCGAGUUCGACACCCGCUGGAACCACGGCUGGGACCCCUCCAACGGGGCUGGCGCCGACCACAUCGGCGUCGACGUCAACGGCAUCAGGUCCAACCGGACCAGAAGCCUGCCGCCGUUGAGCCUCCAUGGCAUCAUGUGGGCGAGCGUCACGUACGAUGCCGAGUCCAAGGUGAUGAAGGUGGCGCUUCGGAAAACCGAGCUGGCGUCCGAGUCGAGCACUACGUACGAGUUCAACGCCACCAUGGAUCUCAGGGACGACGCUGGCCUUGUACAGGACGCCGCCGUCGGUUUCUCCGCGGCCACCGGUGUCCUCUGCGAGUCGCACCAGCUGCUCGCUUGGUCCUUCCACUCAACAGAUCCAUCUCACAUGGAGACAAAAAUGUGGGUGAUAUUCCUAUCUGUCACAGCAGUUUUGUUAGCCGGUUUACUAGUGGCUCUUUUCCCUCUUCUCUAUACUACAUUUAUGAAAAAGCCAAGACGGUGCCUCGACGGAAAUUGUUUGCAAGUUGCAAGAAAAUUCUCCUACUCUGAGCUAGUAGCGGCAACGGCCAACUUCUCGCAAGAUAGGAAGAUCGGCAAAGGUUCCUUCGGUGACGUGUACAGAGGGUUGCUACCUGUGCCGGACCUGCGGGAGGUGGCGGUGAAGGAAAUGCGGCAGCCAACAUUGAAGCGGAACCGGAAGAACUACGUGCAUGAGAUCGAGACCCUGUGUCAGCUGCGCCAUAAGAACCUCCUACGGCUCAUCGGCUGGUGCGACGAUGGUGGCCGGUUGGUGCUUGUCUACGAGCUCGAACCCAACGGUAGCGUCAGCGACCAUCUCCACGACGGCGGCACUAGCGGGAGAAUAUUGACAUGGCCGCAGAGGUACAAUAUCCUUCUUGGUAUUGCAGCCGCCAUUGACUACCUCCACAACGGUGCAUAUGACUCAACAAAGAGGUACGUGUUGCACCGGGACAUAAAGCCCAGUAACGUGAUGCUGGGAGAGGGCUUCGAGGCCAAGCUCGGCGACUUUGGACUGGUACGACAGGUCAUCCGCCAUGGCGGUGGGGGUACUCCUCGGACAACUGUUAUCGGGAGCAUGGACUACAUGGACCCCAAGUACAUCGAGCUCGGCACGCUGAGCUCCGCCUCUGAUAUAUACAGCUUUGGGUUGGUGCUGCUGGAGGUGGCCACUGGCGUGAGACCAUCCGUCCCGGGAACAGCAGCACACCGGAACACCCUCAUCGCGGCCGUCACGGAGUCUCACAGCAGAAAAACCAUCCUCGAGAUGGUAGAUGAGCGGCUGAGAGGGGAGUUGAAUCAGUGGUGGUGGCAGAUGGAGCGUGUCAUGGUCACCGGGCUGGCAUGUGUCGAGCCGGCGCGUGACGAGCGACCAUCUAUCAAAGAUGUCAUCGACCUGCUCUCCAAGCACGAGCAAUCUCCGGCAACUAGCCGUUACCUGAAAGAUACUUCAAUGAGGCCCAAGGAUCGAUUUCCUUUCAUACUAACUAGGAAUGUGGCUCUCGCAAAUGCAAGGGCAACAUCUUUACCAUAG